AUUCCAAACAUUAAAAUUUGGAAAAUAAAAAUGGGGGCCAAAUGGGGGCUAUAAUUCAUUAGGUGUUAGUUUAACAAGAAAAGGAAUCGAGAUGAUGUUAUAAAAUAAAAGAGAAAAUAUUAUGUGAUUAGAGGCAAAGACUGCAUCUACAUAAACAAUAUAUCUGAAUCUGAAUUUUUUUACAAAACUAUAGGCAUUUUUGAAAAACAUGUCAUUGGGGUUUGUAAUUGUCAAGCCACCUGACACCAGGACUUUUAUUUGUCUGGCAAAGUUAACUGUCACUGCCUCCUAGAAAUGGACAGAAACAGAAAAGAAGAAUUACCAUAACCAGGUCAAACUAUAGGAAGUACCUGACUUCACAUCCCAGUUUGCUGGGAAAGAUUACUUGGAAUCCAAACCCUUGAAAGGAUUGAGAGUUGGAGUGAUCUGUGAAACAUUUGGUGAUGGGGUUGAUCCAGAAGUAAUCUUGUCAGUUCGUGGUGCUGUUACUCAUUUGGAAGAACUAGGGUGCUUUGUGACAGAGGUCUCAUUGCCAUCAUUUUCCCUUGGGUUACCGGCGUACUAUGUCCUUGCAUUGUCUGAAUCAUCUUCUAAUUUGUCUCGCUAUGAUGGGAUUAGGUGAUAUACCAUUUCUUUUUCUUUUUUUUAUUUCAAAUUUUAUGUUGAAAA